rnacentral:rRNA from 1 species
UACGUAGGGGGCAAGCGUUGUCCGGAUUUAUUGGGCGUAAAGAGCGUGUAGGCGGCCAGACAGGUCCGUUGUGAAAACUCGAGGCUCAACCUCGAGACGCCGAUGGAAACCGUCUGGCUAGAGUCCGGAAGAGGAGAGUGGAAUUCCUGGUGUAGCGGUGAAAUGCGCAGAUAUCAGGAAGAACACCCGUGGCUAAGGCGGCUCUCUAGUACGGUACUGACGCUGAGGCGCGAAAGCGUGGGGAGCGAACAGG